rnacentral:rRNA from 1 species
UACGUAGGAGACGAGCGUUGUCCGGAGUUACUGGGCGUAAAGGGUGCGCAGGUGGCGGCGCGCGUGGGGGGUGAAAUCGCCCGGCUUAACUGGGCGGGGGCCUUCCAGACGGCGUGGCUUGAGCAGCGGAGGGGGACGUGGAAUUCCGGGUGGAGCGGUGAAAUGCGUUGAUAUCCUAAGGAACACCCGUGGCGAAAGCGGCUCACUGGGUCUCUUCUGACGCUGAGGCACGAAAGCUAGGGUAGCGAACGGG